CAAAGAGAUCUCCAGGAGGCAAGGCUGGAGCAGAGACAGGUGGGGCCAAGAGGAAGCCAGAUGAGGAACCUGGGAGGGAAUGAUCAUGUAAAGGCAGUCACUCACCAGGAGCAGGCUGAGACCAUUGUGUGCAUGACCCAAGGAGAGAGCCAAGAGGGACUCCAAGGCUCCUGGCUUCCAAGCUCUGCCCAAGAAGAGCUGUCCUACCCUCAGGAGAGCUUUACUGUAACCAGGCAAUUUAGCCUCCCAAGCAGUUGGACAGGCCCUGGAGAUAAUAAAGAAAGAAGGUAACAGAGUGGAUCUGCAAAGCCUUUAAUACACAGCAUUAAAAGGUGAUCCUAGAGCAAACAGAAGUCUGAGAACCUCAUUUUAUCUGCUAACGUGAAUCUCCUUGGCAAGAUCUCCAGACUAUGUGAUCACUACCAAAGUGACGGGGAGCUCACUCCUCCGCUGACCAGCUCAUGGACCUCUUUGGAGUGAGUUCCUGGUUAAUAAAGUGUCUCCCAGUCUCCUGACUCCCUAGGACAAAUGAGAGGCAGAGGAGGGAAGAAAAGGGAAGUAGGAUCUGGAAGCAGGGAAGAGAGGGAGACUGAGGACGCAGGAGACGACUGAGCCGGGGGCAGAGGAUCGGCCGUCACUGGGGUGAGGAGAAGGGAGCGGUCAGAGCUGGCUCCCUCCCGGUGCAGUCACGCCAGUUAUUAAAGGAAAGAAGAAUGAGUCUCUGUAUCUCGGUGGAGCAGGGCAAGAGUCAUCAGCAGCUGUUAUUAAAAUCCUUUCCUCACCAGUGAAAGACACUUAUCGCUCUUCAUCAGCAAAGCUCUCUCUUUUUGAAAAGGAAAAUCAACUUAACAGGUGGGGACUGUCCUUUCACUCCUCCUGUGAAAGCGUCCAAGGCGGCCUGCCUCCCGACAGCCCCCCAAACUGGUGUGGGGCUCACAGAGCACCCCCAGGUUAGCAGGAGAGAGAUUCUGGGCCCGCAGUGCCUUGGCACUGUAUUCACCAGUGGGACUCUUGCCCACUGCAGGGAAUGUGUGGGUGGCAGCUGUACCUGAUGCAGGGGUGCGGUACAGGGCGGACGGGAUCCCUAAACAAG
rnacentral:lncRNA from 1 species